UUAGUGGGCUAAUAGGCCCAAUUACAGCAGUGCUUCCAUUUUAUACAAGACAGUCCAGGGUUUUCUGCCCCAACCCUCACAGGAAUCAGUUUAAAGCCAUCAUGAUCCAGGUCACCAUCCAAUCACUUUGCCAAUCUUUCUAAGAUGUAACCCAUCUCACAUCAGCAGUCCAUUAUCAAAAUAACUAAGACUGUAGUCCCAUAUUUUUCCUAUUGACCAUUUGUAUACCCAAUCAUUCAUUUGCAGUAUUCUUUCUCUUUCUGAUCCUCUUCCCUGGGCUGGAAGGAAGGAUGAAAACAACGCCUGAGCAUCAGGGUUUGAGCUUCCUUUCUAGGUCUUCAAAUCCAUGAGGAUAUGAUUUCACAGCAGCAAAGAGGCCCUGCUCCCUCUCUUGAAUGUAUGAUCUCUGCUGUCACUCCUUGACAGCACUAUCCACUGUUUGGGGAAGAAGAGCAUGUCCAAGAAUACAGCAGCAGCUACAGAUGACCUCUCCUAGCAGCUUCAUGUAGAUGUUAAAGAGGAGCAGAGAGAGUACCGAACCCUGCAGCACCCCACAAUUCAGGGGGCAAGGACAGGACCUCUCACCCUCAAUCAACACCAACUGAAACCAGCCACUGAGGAAGGAAGAGAACCAGCUCAGUUUAGUGCUGCCCAUUCCCAACUCCCUCAGCCAGUCCAGAAGGAUACCAUAGUCAAUGGUACUGAAGGCUGCUGAGAGGUCAAGAAGAGCAAGGAUGGACAACUAUCUGUAUCCCAUUCUCUCCAAAAGUCAUCAAAAACUGACCAAUGCUGUUUCCAUCCCAUACCCAGGCCUGA